rnacentral:rRNA from 1 species
AGAGACAGCAGCCGCCGCGGGAAUACAGAGGGUGCGAGCGUUAAUCGGAUUUACUGGGCGUAAAGCGUGCGUAGGCGGCUUCUUAAGUCGGAUGUGAAAUCCCUGAGCUUAACUUAGGAAUUGCAUUCGAUACUGGGAAGCUAGAGUAUGGGAGAGGAUGGUAGAAUUCCAGGUGUAGCGGUGAAAUGCGUAGAGAUCUGGAGGAAUACCGAUGGCGAAGGCAGCCAUCUGGCCUAAUACUGACGCUGAGGUACGAAAGCAUGGGGAGCAAACAGGAUUAGAUACCCCGGUAGUCCCUGUCUCUUAUAA